AAACCAGUAGACUUCUGUGGACGUGCAUCGCCGCUGGACUCUCACCCGUCUUCUCUGAGAGAUCCACGGGAUAGUCCCCUGAUCCUAGAAUUGGGCAGGGCCGACCCAGGGUGAAGAAACCUCAAGCGGACUCCCAGGGCUGCAGAUCGAAAUCCCUAAGGAUCCCAGGGGACCCGCAGGAUGUGUCAGGCAUGCCUAGGCGGUGUGGGGGCUUGAAAUCGCCCUUAGACAGCCUCUGAGACACUUUCUCAACCUCACCUGCCCCGGUGGGAUGCCAACUCCAGGUGUCAGACCUCUGCUCCACCUUGGACUAGCCUUUGUCGUGGUUCCUGCCUUUCCCAGACGACCGUGCUGAGAAGCAGGAGCCCCUGUGAGGCCCAGGAUGAAGGAAGACAGUGAGCUUAAGGACACAGGAAUCUUCCGCUAGCACCAUCAUCCAGAAUUUUAACUAAAAUUCCAUCUCAAAGAGACCCCUCAAAAACUCACAAGACUGUAUCUCCAGCCCAAUGGGACCCGAUUCCUACACACAGCCUUUUUCGGGAAUGGAAUCAGAAACGCAGUUUCCAUGGCCCAACUCACAGUCUCAAAGCCUGUCCUCCUCCAGCGGGACAGGGCCACGGAGACAAACUAAGGAAGCCCUACGGUGAGCAACGUUGGGGGCCCGCAGUACUUGUUGCAGGCAGCCUAUUUCCUGAGACCAGGCAGGCUCUGCCUGCACCAUUUUCCUUGCUUAGGUAGGCUGAAAACCCUGACAGCCUGGUGACCGAAACUGCCUCAUGCAUGCACCAGUGGCGGGGCACCAGGAGCAAGUAGUGAGCGCGGGCUCGAGUCACAGUGAAUGCCUUCGUUGCAUCUCGACAAGUCUCUGACUCUUGGCAAAGAGGGGGUCCUCUGUGACGUGCGUCGAAGUUGGACUUCCGGUUGUCUUCUCUGGGGAUCCAUGGGAUACUCCCACGAUCCAGGAUACAAUAGAGGCAGACCAUUCUGAGGAAAUGUCAAGUAGCACUUAGCACCUGCCCGCCCUCCACCUUCUCCACCACCCAGCAGGAGCGGGGCGGCCUGGAUCUGUUUUCUGCCCCUGACCAGGGGGCCGCGUCUUCGGCAAAGUCUUCGGGGUGAGAGGUCCGGCUCCUGGAGGACAGCGGGAUGGGAGAGUCCCGUUCACACCCAGCCCCGCAGAGCCGGAUAGAAACGCUGCCACUGCCGACUCCAUGCUGCCGGGAAGUGCACUGUGGAGGCCACUUUCUGGAAAGAAGAAACCGUCUGAACACAAAGUUGCUCAAGCCAUGUUCAUCUAUCUGCCAGGGAAACGGAGGCCCUGAGUGCCAGAGUCCAAGUCACCCUGCAAGAGAAAACUCUGGUGGAGCCCAGGGUGUCCAGCCCCUGUCCACCCAGCCGCCGUGGUCAAGGUUAAUAAGGGCAAGGGGCCAAGCAGAACCGCCUACAAGGAACCGAGUGUCCACAAAGCAGGAAGCGAAGAACGUUUCUCCUACCUAGAGCGCAGCCGUUUUGCGGAAGGCACAGUCCGGGCUCCGGGAGCCAAGCAGGGAUCCGGGCCUCGUUGCGGAGGGGACGCCCGGGCUGAGCUGAGCUCACUUGCUGGCGGCGGCAGCCCCUGCAGUCAUGGGGUCACCGGCUUGUGGAGAGGGGCUGGCGCUGUUCCUUGGCCCCGCUCCCCGCCCGCAAAGGGCCGGGAGGUCGGGCUCCCGGCAGUGUCCAGGCUCUCGCCCGCCGGUGCCUGAGCCGUACCCACCGCGUCCCCUCCGCCCCAACAGCUGGUGCUGAGGGUCCGGCCCGGGGUCAUCUGGCAGGGCCGUGCGGCUCCUGCGGGUGACCAGGAGCGCGGAGCCCCUUCCCACUCGGGCUCGGGUGGCCUCACCUUUCCUGGGGCUGCGUCCCCGCGGGACGCCAGGUUCCCGGUUUCUUCUAGGUCGCCCUGGUUCCUGGCAGCUCCUGGUGCCACGCGGUCCUCUACGGUCUCCUCUGACCUGAGAGGGACAGUGAGAUGGGGCUGGCGGGGAUGGGGGUCCCCGCGCUGUUGGAAAGCAGCGGGGCUGCUGCUGACCGGAGCCGCCUGGGUCUGUUCUGGAACCGUCGCCCUGGGGCCCCUCCGCCCCGCAAACGCUCGGGAUGCGGUUUGGGAGUGUAGCUGGACACCGAGCACCAUCCACGCUCAGCCCCACGGGGCUCCAGGAGUCCCGAGCCCAAGCCCCUGCACUUGCAUUUUAUUUAAAAAACCUGAGGGUUAAAUUCGGGCAAGUCAGUUGCCUCAGUGUUUGUCGC
rnacentral:lncRNA from 1 species